AGGGUGGGUGUUCUAUCGCUGCCUCGCUUCCUAUCAUCUUCCGAUAUUCCAGGAUCUGACGCUUUCCUUUGCUUUGUUGUUUUGCUGUUCCGUUGCACUGGCGCGUCCUGGGCGAUGUGUGGACGGGUUUGUUCUUCAAGGAGCUGUGUGGAUUCUCUGGUCGCGUCUUCUGUGGCGCGUCUCGUCUCAGGAGCCGCCACGCCCAGGGCCGAUCUGGCCAACGGCGGGAAGCAAGUGGUGUUCGAGGGUGUCGACAACCGCGCCUAGGACCGCCACUGGGCGAUCCAGGUCGCCAGGGACGCAGCGGCCCAAGCUGACGGGUGCAUGCAGCCCAAGUCGUCCUCUUCGCCUUAGGCCACGCCUGCCGCUGUCGCAUCGACACCUCCGGAUCCAGCCCCGCCGCGCAGAGGAAAUUGAGCAGAUACACCUGCCCAAUCCGGCCAUCAACGAAAGGUCUAUUGUGCUUUCCAUAUUUGUCAUAGAAAUUGUUGUUGAGAUAAUGAUGCUCGUGCACUUGAAUUGAUACUUACGGAGAGAGGAGAACACCAGUUUUGUCGAGUAGGCGGAACCGCAAACGCUGAGUAAUUUAUUGUGCGAAUCUUGGUGUUGUGUGCGUUCACUGUUCAGUGUGUACUUAGCAGAUUUUUUUUUUUGCUCUUUCGCAUUCUGGGAAUUUAACUAUGCAGUUAUCUCCGUCAGAUUAUCCUGAUGAAGCAACAUAGUAAGUGUUUCAUCCCUUCCCAGAUCAAAUUUGUUUAUACAAGCAUUUUCUUCCAGCAACAUAGUAAGUGUUUCAUCCUGAUGAAGCAACAUAGUAAGUGCUGUACCCACCCAAUAACUUGCCUGUAAUAUAAUCCUGCAAGUAUGAUGAAUCUUGGAUGUUGUUAAUCUGCACAGUAGCAAAUUUCCAUAUGUUACUGAACUAUAGUUGUGAACGUAGUAAUAAGUUUCAGUAGUGGCUUAGUCUUUCCUGCAGUCCUGUAUGUUCAUGGUGUAUUGUAAGGACAAUGUAGGUUCAUAACAACACUAAAGUUCCCCGCAAAGAAACAAAAUAAAAUAAAAGCACUAAAGUUUGAUCAUCUGAAAAUUGCUAGUUAUAAUCCCAUCUAGAACCCUGUUUUGGGAGCUCAACCUUGGUGCUAAUGUUGAGCUGGACCUUUUCUUUUGAACCUUGAAUUGUGUGCUGGCUUGUAUGCAUGCCUUUGCACACCCAUUUGGAGUUCGAAUGUGUGUGAAUUGUAUUGCUGCAUACAUGUUAGAUUAACUACAUCCAAACGUGCAGCGACUUCUCUUGCUGAUGUCAAGGGGACUUUUGGAAAACUACACUUUAUAGAACUCACUUACUGAAACCUUGCUCAUGUUGUGUGAUACAGUCUACAGAGCAUUGUGGACAACAACAUUAACAUAUUAAGAUUAAAAUAAUAGCGUGGACAACAACAACUAUUUGUUUGGAACUAAGCUUAUAUCCAAUUAUAAUUUACUAAUGUAUGUUAGAACUUGUAAUAUCUGCAUAUGGGCACAUGGCUUCAACCAGCUGAACUUCUAUCGUCAACUUUUACUCUUAUAAUUUUAAUAAUGUAUGUUGAACUUGUAAAUAUCUGUGAAUUUAAAGAGGCUUGCUGCUGUUGGACCCUUUGUCAUCUAAGGGUAAUAACUGAAUAAAUGCAUUCUUAUCUGUUGUGUUGCUUGAAUAAAAACUUGUUCCUUUGUUAGUUUGUAGCUUACAGUGAUUAAAUUCUGUUUAACCGGUGUCCCACAAGGUGGAGAAGGAUUUCUUGGCACAAUCUGGAGACCCGACUGGAACUGCAGCAGCGGUGAUUCUGUGUAUAAGUUCCUUGAUGGUGAUCAAGAUCGAUUUUUUAAUGACGCGAUCCGUCCGGAAUUCAGGCAUUCAGAAACUAGCACGGUUGCAGUGGCAGGUGCUGGUGAAAAUUGCAAUGCCUCGCAGGUGUUCGGGACAAUUGCUGAAGGUUUUGAAACACUGACAAAUAUAAAUGAAGCAUAUGUUUUUUUGGCGAGUAAUAUGAAGCAUAUGUUGAUGACAAAGGAAGACCAUUUAAGGACAUGAGGUGCAAUAUUGUUUUACACCUAUGGUAAACUGCAUAAUUAGGACAUAUUUGCCAAAGAAUGAUGCUAUUUGGUUUCAUGCCCUUGAGAGGCCAAAAUUCCCCACUCUGCCUUCAGCCAAAUUUGCCCAAAAGCUGAGCAGCCAGUGUGGUCUGCAAAUUCGGUUUGGUUCUUACGCGCUACAUUUGGGCAAACACCAAAAACUCCUAUUUAGUUUCCAGCACUAAUUUACUUGUUUCUUUCUACUGAACUCUUCCUUAAAUCUUAAUAGACAGGAUCGAUCAUACAUAUAUCUUGGUGAUGAUCCUCCUCAACUUGCUGAACUUAUUCCUGAUAAUACUCCGCUAGGAAAGCCAUAUGAUGGUGUAAUUUGAGUAAUAUUGUUGUGUUCAUUUCUGUAAGAUGUCAAGCUUUUCAGUCUUUUAGCCCUUUAGGAGAGGUCAAUGUGUGCCAUAUGAUGUCCUGUCAAUGUGAAUAUGCCAUGUUCUUUGUCCUGUUAUAGCAGGUUGCAGAAGAACGCUUAGGGGAUAGUUGGGUCCCUUUAGAUGAAACGGUGGAUCCUGAACAGCUUGAGGAGAUGAUCUGCUCUAAAGAAGAACAUGCUAAUGCAGUUAUCCUUGAGAGUAUGCAGUGCCGAUGCGUGGGAUGCGCCAGUAAGGUCGAGAAGGCGAUGGCCUCCAUCGGGAGUUUCGGAGAUACCGAGUACCAACAGCCUUCCUGACUCCUUGUUUGAUUUACUUUAUAUAUUUUUGUUGCCUGCAAAUACUUUGAUUCUCGGGGACAUUUUGCUUUAAUGUUAGUGUGAUAGGAGUCCGAGAGCUUUGCCAAUGGCCGAAGAAGAAGACAAGGAAGACGUCAAAAUUGUCUGCCCUGAUCCACCAGCUGAGAAUCAUGAUCAGAAAAUUAUAUUGGUUCUUGGAAGCAGUUCAAGAGCUUGUGGCACUACAGCUUCAGCUCCACCAUUACCGGAUAAAUUGUCCUGAGCUCUAGCACCAUCAGGAAUUCAGUCUGAAAAUUAGGACCUACAACUGAUUGAGGAGCAGACCUUGACCUUUAGGGAACUCACGGCAGCCACGAGCAAGUUCAGAGCCGAUUGCCUUCUAGGGGAGGGUGGCUUCAGACCAUAAUAGCGAACUUCUUAGUGUUAAUCCUAAAAAAGGCCUGAGGAGUCGAGGACUAAAACACAAUGAGGGGAAUCAAAUAGUUUGGAGGAACUACAUGAUCACUUAAUCUUGAUACAUGAGAAGAGGAUAUCCAGUUUUUCCCUGAUGAUCAAAGUGUUGGAGUAUCCGACUCUUUUUUCCUCGCUACUAUAUAUGGAAUCCUUGGAAUUCCUUUGUCGUACUUGAUGCGGUAUAGGCCUCUCUACCGUGCAAUGAGAUUCCACUUCGUACCAGCCCAGCAUGCAUAGCCUUGCUAAUUAACAACAGAAAAUUGUUGAUAUUCUCUUCAAACAGAGUUCCUCAACCAUGGGGGGCUAUCAUCGUGCGGUCGUGCCCUGUCUGGCGCUCUUCUGGAUUUAGUACUGUGUGGUUGCUCUGUCAUUGGAUUUGGACCAAAAGGAGCCCAUGAAAUAGAAGCAUAUGGUAGAGUUGCCAAUUAAUGAAACACAAUCAAAGCUACUUUGAUACCAGAUGUUAAUGGCGAGUUAGUUGAUAAUCGGCAUGGACUCUUUAAAUGAGACCUUUCUUUCCCCACUUCUUAGUGUUAAUCCUAAAAGAGGCCCAAGGAGUCGAGGACAAAAAAACACAAUGAGGGAAAGCAAAUAGUUUGGAGAUAUGCUGAUAUAGACAUGGAGGGCUUCAGAUUUUCUACACCAUAUUUCAUUCACGUGUUUCCAGUCACAAGAACAUGUAGAUGCUCAGCUUAAAAUAGUAUGACGGGCUUUUACCUUUGUCGUUUUGCACAUAAUUUAUGUGUUAGUUGGGACAUGAGAGUGGCGACUUUCUGAUAUAAGGCCUAUUACUAAAAGAGGGUGUCCUGGCAUAUUUUCUUUAACUGUUUUUUUUUGCCGGUUAGUUUGUUUGGCUGACUUAUACAUUAAGUCUGACGUCUGCAAAUCCUUGUUAUUUGCAUAUCUUAGCUUAUCGCCCCCUCCGUUCAGAUCGCUAUGAGACAUAACAAAUGCGCCUUUUCAAUCUCUUUGCAAGUUUGUUUGCAUGUGUCAGUUUGAAUGACAACCAAAAUUCUCCAGUCCUAUGUGCUCAAGAACACGCAAAUCAUUCCUUUGUUCAGGUAUGUCUUCUGAAAUAAAACCCAGUGUCAUUUGAAAUAAAACCUGAACUUGAGAUGGUUACUUUGUUUGCUGCAUGAGUGCCUCCAUGUUUGAGAUGGCUAUUCUGUGAUGUGCAUGGAUGCCUUGUAAUUCUGUUAUGUGCAUGGGUGGCUAUAUGUGUGGGGAGUGGGGAUAUAUGAUCUUCUCUGAUUUCCAAAUUGUCAUAUUUAUAGUCGAUAUGCUGUCCAAAUUUUGUUGGUGUCAUGCUGUUACAAUGUUGAUUUCUUCUAAUUUGCUUACAGGAUCCCAAUAGUAGAUGAUCUUUCGUAACAUUGAUUAUUGGUGUCAUGCUGUUACAAUGUUGAUUUCUUCUAAUUAUUCUUUCCGCUUCACUGUAUUUGUCCUUGGUCUUGGAUGUUUUUGUUUCACAUCUCUGUCCAUUCGUAGAAUUAACUCUCUCGCCCAACUUAUUGCAUAGGGUCAAACCCACUGUAGCUGAAUCUAUUGUUCAAUCGCUAGAGUCUGCCUUAAGCUGCUGUACACAUUGUAUUUGUUUUAACUGGUAAGUAAGUAGUUUUUCUCUUGUAAAUAGCUCUGUACAGAUUUGAUCUUUGAUAAAAGUGCAUUGUAGGGGACAUAAAACUGCGCAUGGAAACGAAGCUAGUAUCUACAAACAAGGCAGUGAAUUAAUCAGUCUAAACAUAUUUUUAAUGUUGAAUUUAGAGAGACAUCUGAAAGUGGAAAUUUUGGAACUAGAUGCCUUAGUAAAUUUGGCCAAGUAAGCAGCUUAAAAUUCAGUGUGAUAAAGCUCUUUUAGCUGUAGCUCCAAGUCCAACUGAACUAAUUAAGCUAUUUAGUAGUUCUAAAGUUGUUAACAAUCUCUUCUAGCUUUGUACUUGCAAGCAAUUUCAAUACACUGACACGCCUUUCUGUGUUUUCUUCUCACGGUAGAGAAAUACUAUUGCUUUCUUAGGAUGUCAGAUUGACAGUGUACAGCUUGAGAGAUUGCACCCUUUUAGAAUAAUUACUACAAUGCAUCUGAACAUAUGUUUUGUAUAACCAUGCUUCAAUUCUGCACAUGCAAUGAAUCACUGGGAGUUAAUUACUACCACUGCAUACAUUGAUGCUAUCACAUGAUCGUCAUCUUAUUUUCAGGAGCACAAUGUCAGGUCAAAUGUUUCUGUCAACGAACCUGUUGCAGAUCAAGAUGGGUUUUUUGGAGGUUCUUUAAUGAGUCUGGAGAAGGCGCACUUGCUUUCUCAUCGUUCUCAUGAGCUGCCAAAUGCCAGCAACUGAAUAGGUCUUGCAUAUGUAGUUUUUUGGUGUAGCAAACUCUGCCUAUAGCUAACUCUAGCCAGAUCUGUUACGGGUGUAAACGAAGUUUUCUUGGUGUAGCAACAACACUUUCUGCUUGUCACUGAUCAUAGACAUGUUAUUUGAAUGACGAUUGAGAAUGACUGAAACAUGUUCUGUGCA